AGAGUUUGAUCCUGGCUCAGGACGAACGCUGGCGGCGUGCCUAAUACAUGCAAGUAGAACGCUGAAGAGAGGAGCUUGCUCUUCUUGGAUGAGUUGCGAACGGGUGAGUAACGCGUAGGUAACCUGCCUUGUAGCGGGGGAUAACUAUUGGAAACGAUAGCUAAUACCGCAUAACAAUGGAUGACACAUGUCAUUUAUUUGAAAGGGGCAAUUGCUCCACUACAAGAUGGACCUGCGUUGUAUUAGCUAGUAGGUGAGGUAACGGCUCACCUAGGCGACGAUACAUAGCCGACCUGAGAGGGUGAUCGGCCACACUGGGACUGAGACACGGCCCAGACUCCUACGGGAGGCAGCAGUAGGGAAUCUUCGGCAAUGGGGGCAACCCUGACCGAGCAACGCCGCGUGAGUGAAGAAGGUUUUCGGAUCGUAAAGCUCUGUUGUAAGUCAAGAACGAGUGUGAGAGUGGAAAGUUCACACUGUGACGGUAGCUUACCAGAAAGGGACGGCUAACUACGUGCCAGCAGCCGCGGUAAUACGUAGGUCCCGAGCGUUGUCCGGAUUUAUUGGGCGUAAAGCGAGCGCAGGCGGUUUGAUAAGUCUGAAGUUAAAGGCUGUGGCUCAACCAUAGUUCGCUUUGGAAACUGUCAAACUUGAGUGCAGAAGGGGAGAGUGGAAUUCCAUGUGUAGCGGUGAAAUGCGUAGAUAUAUGGAGGAACACCGGUGGCGAAAGCGGCUCUCUGGUCUGUAACUGACGCUGAGGCUCGAAAGCGUGGGGAGCAAACAGGAUUAGAUACCCUGGUAGUCCACGCCGUAAACGAUG
rnacentral:rRNA from 1 species